UACAAUGACUUUAUCCAAAUUCACUCAGUAAACAAAGUGUUGAAUAUGGCGUACGAAAGUUCGUAGCUGUCAUUAAUUUUAUUUCAAACUUCAACAAAUUAUAGCGAGAUGAACGUAUGAUCGAUUAGAUGUUGAAUCGACGGAGUACGAUAAUUAAAGAGGAAGAUUUCAGUCGCCUUCGCAUCCAUAACAGCUCGGAAGAUUGGGGUGUUACACUCUUGCAUGUACGAGGAGUUGCUGACCACUACACCACCGAGGAAACAAUCUGUGUGGGAUUGUUAUGGGGUCCAGACAACUGGCCCCUCGGGGGGGGGGGAUCUGAAGGAUAGGAGGUCACUGUUCGGGAGGUAGUCAUCACCGUCGGUUCUUGGAAUUCCCUCACAAGUUUGUGGAUAUCAGGAUAAAACGUCAGCACGACCGGAUUUAAACUGAUUAUGCGUUCAUGUGUAUCAAGCAAAAAACUGUUAUGGAUAGCCAUUUUGUCCGUCAGGUUUGGGUCACGUGUCGAUAAUUGUCUGUUAGGUUCUGAAUGUGGAACUAGGAUUAAAGGUUGGGUGCAGAGUGCCCUCGGUUUAAUGGUAUAUGUUUAUUCUACCUGUGUAUGAUUGACGACCACCGAGUGUGUUGUGGAUGCGAAAGUGUUUGCUUCAUCGUGAAAAUUUCUGUCCACCAA